GGAGAAACUACGCGGUGUGGCUGCAGGUGGAGCCUUGGACCAACUGGCCAGCGCCGCUUCCUUCCACCAGGAUUCCUGGCCCCACCGCGCGCUAGGCGGAGGCUCAGCGGGGGCGACUCUGGCUGGAGCCCAGCCCUCACCUCCCCCACCCCCACAUCUGCUCUAGCUAGGAAAAAAAAAAAGAAAAAAAAAAUCCCGGACAGCAUUGCUGAGUCCUGCCAAAUCAGAAAAAUAAAUAAAAAUAGACGUAGUGCAGGAGCGAGUUACAAGAAAGGUUUUGUUCAUCGAUUUUCUUAAAUGGAAAAGUUUUAAAGGAUGAGGGUAAGUGAACGGCGAGCUUUUCUGAUUCUGAUUACUGUUAUCAAGAGGUAGAUUCCAGAAGCGAUGGACGCUCUACGUAGUUAGAUGAAUUGGAUAGAAGCCGGUGCGGUUAAAAAUACACUUGGAAGAUAAGAACACAGCUAUUAAUUACGCACAUACACACGUUAAUAAAGCAUGUGAAGUAAGCAAAUAAACUACAGUGCAGAGAAUGGCGUUUUUAACGACGGCGAUCUAUUUUAAAACUUAAUGAAGUUCACAUUUUGUGGACUGGUCUUAGAAAUAAGUAAACUUCAGAAAUAACACGCAUACAAUUCCAGUGAGAACCCAAAAGGUUUAUGGAAGAAGAAAAUCGCAACCACUUCCAAGGCGCUAUUGUUAUGAUCACAUGAAGAAUGGCAGGCACAGCCUUCUUUCACCACUUGAACUUUCAAUAGCUACAAAGUCUUGCAGUUACAGGCUUGUGCCAACUCGUCGGGCCACACCACGUUCCCCUCCCCCUGCCGCUGCGCCCCGAAAUCAACUGCGCGCCGCGGCUCUUGCUCCCCAAGGGGGCUUCGCAGAUGGUACGGAUCCUAGUCGCAACCUUUAAACAAAGUAACAUCGGGCGGCCCAGCAGUUCUCGGAGAGAUAUUUACUAGUCAUGGAGUUGGCUGAGAAAAGCAAGUGCGGAGAUCGGGGUCUCAGUCCCACUUAGGCCGAGUUUCUUUAUAUUGGAAACUGUACCUGUUCCCUAAUUGGGACUAAGACCACUAAUAAGUCCACGUUCCCUCUUUGGUCGCUUCUCUAAGUACAGACAUCUGCUUAAGAGGCUUCACGAAGAAUAAAUGCACAUGGGUCAACACCCAUUCCCCCCGCACCACUACCACCACCUGGAAAAGUAACGCUGAGCCAAGAAGCGAGCGAUUAAAUUUACCUAAUUUAAAAUUAUAGAAUACGAGAGUUAAAGAAUUGGAGUCUACUUUUCACAGUGAAGAAAUACCACCCAGAAUCUUCCUGGCAAUUACUAGAUCCUAGUCUCACCAUCCAAGUAGGAGCCCUUCCUUCUGACCACGUGAUAUUACAUUUCCACCUGCCAGAAAAGAUGCUCCCGGAGCUGGAAGAAAAGCCAGCUAUUGUCAGGCUCCCGAAACCCCCAGGGGAGCACCUGUGGGGAAGCCAGGCUAUGAAACCUCAUGAUGUCAUUUCCCCAUAAGUGCGCCUCAGACUCACUUCCAGAAGCCUGCAGUAAGUUUUCAGUAAAACCACUGCCCCUUCAAAGCCUUUGAAGUCUGCAAUUUAUACCCUGUCCCUUCAGGAAAAGAAAGCCAAAGAGUUAAAGAAUCACAGAGUGAUGAGAAGGUGACUUCAGUGGUUUUUUUUAAAGUGACGUAAAAUGGAGUGUUUGAGGCCCUGGUCUCUGGAGGCCAUCUGCGGUUAAUGUAAC
rnacentral:lncRNA from 1 species